rnacentral:hammerhead_ribozyme from 1 species
AUCCAGUUGACGAGUCUCAAAUAGAACGAAACACACAUCCUAGAU